GACGAACGCUGGCGGCGUGCUUAACACAUGCAAGCCGAGCGGUAAGGCCCUUUCGGGGGUACACGAGCGGCGAACGGGUGAGUAACACGUGGGUGACCUGCCCUUAGCUCUGGGAUAAGCCUGGGAAACUGGGUCUAAUACCGGAUAUGACUCCAUAACGCAUGUUGUGGGGUGGAAAGCCUUGUGCGGCUAGGGAUGGGCCCGCGGCCUAUCAGCUUGUUGGUGGGGUGAUGGCCACCAAGGCGACGACGGGUAGCCGGCCUGAGAGGGCGACCGGCCACACUGGGACUGAGACACGGCCCAGACUCCUACGGGAGACAGCAGUGGGGAAUCUUGCGCAAUGGGCGAAAGCCUGACGCAGCGACGCCGCGUGGGGA
rnacentral:rRNA from 1 species